rnacentral:ncRNA from 1 species
AUUGUUGCGAUAGUAAUCCUAUUUAGUACGAGAGUAACAGCAGAUUCAAACAUUUGGUUCAUGAACUUCACCGAUCGGUUAGUGGUCCGAAUCUAACAUUUGAGUGAUUAUGACUGAACGCAUCUAAGUCAAAAUCGCACCUAGUCAAGACAACGAUAACUUUGUUAUCCGAUGAUAGCAGGCGAGUAUAUUUUAUAUAUACAUACAUAUAUAAAAGUAUAUGCUCUAAUGCCUAUACUAAUACGUAACGAAUUCAUAUUAGCUGUUGAAACCAGAUCAUUCUUGUUCAAUGUUGCGACGCAAAAUCACAUGUUUACAACAUGUAUGCUGAUCGACAUCUAUCCAGUAGAGCAGUGUUUGCAUACUGCGAUCUGUUGAGACUAUCCUAUGAUCGGGUGUUUU